GCCUCCGUGGCUCAGUCUGGCAGAGCGGCAGACUUGUAAUCUGCAUGUCGUGGGUUCAAAUCCCACCGGGGGCU
rnacentral:tRNA from 1 species